rnacentral:rRNA from 1 species
GACGAACGCUGGCGGCGUGCCUAAUACAUGCAAGUCGAACGCUUCUUUCCUCCCGAGUGCUUGCACUCAAUUGGAAAGAGGAGUGGCGGACGGGUGAGUAACACGUGGGUAACCUACCCAUCAGAGGGGGAUAACACUUGGAAACAGGUGCUAAUACCGCAUAACAGUUUAUGCCGCAUGGCUUAAGAGUGAAAGGCGCUUUCGGGUGUCGCUGAUGGAUGGACCCGCGGUGCAUUAGCUAGUUGGUGAGGUAACGGCUCACCAAGGCCACGAUGCAUAGCCGACCUGAGAGGGUGAUCGGCCACACUGGGACUGAGACACGGCCCAGACUCCUACGGGAGGCAGCAGUAGGGAAUCUUCGGCAAAGGACGAAAGUCUGACCGAGCAACGCCGCGUGAGUGAAGAAGGUUUUCGGAUCGUAAAACUCUGUUGUUAGAGAAGAACAAGGACGUUAGUAACUGAACGUCCCCUGACGGUAUCUAACCAGAAAGCCACGGCUAACUACGUG